UCAAGCGAACAAGGGCGCAGGGCGAAUGCCUUGGCACUGGGAGCCGAUGAAAGACGUGAUAAGCUGCGAUAAGCUUCGGGGAGCUGCAAAUAAGCAUUGAUCCGGAGAUUUCUGAAUGAGGAAACUCACCUGGGUUCAUACUCAGGUACGUUGUACUGAAAUUCAAAAUAGGUACAUCGGGGGAACCGCCUGAACUGAAACAUCUAAGUAGGGCGAGGAAGAGACAUCAAACGAGAUUCCGUAAGUAGUGGCGAGCGAACGCGGAAGAGGGCAAACCGAAGGUAGAAAUACCUUCGGGGUACGGAGCGCAUUUAAGACUUAAGUUGUUAACCGAACGGCAUGGGAAGGCCGGUCAGAGAGUGUGAGAACCACGUAGGUGAAAACGACAAGAGCUGAGCGAUUUCCAGAGUACGGCCAGACACGUGAAACCUGGUCGGAAGAUGGGGGGACCACCCUCCAACCCUAAAUACUACCCAGUGACCGAUAGCGUAUAGUACUGUGAAGGAAAGGUGAAAAGCACCCCGGGAGGGGAGUGAAAAAGAACCUGAAACCCUGUGCCUACAAGCACCUAGAGCGCGUCAAAGCGUGAUAGGGUACUUUUUGUAGAACGGUCCGGCGAGCGAUUGUAUGCAGCAAGGUUAAGGACUUAAGGUCUGGAGCCGAAGCGAAAGCGAGUUUGAAAAGGGCGUUAAGUUGCAUAUAAUGGGCCCGAAACCGGGUGACCUACCCAUGGUCAGGUUGAAGUGGAAGUAAAAUUCCAUGGAGGACCGAACCGACCUCCGUUGAAAAGGCGGCGGAUGAACUGUGGGUAGCGGAGAAAUUCCAAUCGAACCCGGAGAUAGCUGGUUCUCCCCGAAAUAGUUUUAGGACUAGCCUCAAGUUAGAUACCUGGAGGUAAAGCACUGAAUAGCCUAGCGGCCGAGAGGUUAGCGAAGCUUAUCAAACUCAGAAUGCCAGAGUAUUGAUGCUUGGGAGUCAGACAGUGUCAGAUAAAUGUCAUUGUCAAAAGGGAAACAGCCCAGAUCUACAGCUAAGGUCCCAAAGUCAGGUUAAGUGGAAAACGAUGUGAAGAUACGCAGACAACCAGGAUGUUGGCUCAGAAGCAGCCACUCAUUCAAAGAGUGCGUAAUAGCUCACUGGUCGAGCGUCUUUGCGCGGAGAAUUUAACGGGGCUAAACCUGACACCGAAGCUUAGGCAAUCCAGUAAUGGAUUGGGUAGGGGAGCGUUGUAUACGCGGAGAAACAGUAGCGUAAGCGGCUGUGGAGUGUAUAGAAGUGAGAAUGCCGGAAUGAGUAGCGCGAAUGCAGUGAGAAUCUGCAUGGCCGAAAGCCUCAGGUUUUUGGAGGAAGGUUCGUCCGCUCCAAGUUAGUCGGGAGCUAAGGUGAGGCCGGAAGGCGUAGCCGAUGCACAGACGGUAGAGAUUCCGUCACCACCAAAAGAGUUAAGCACAGGGACACAUUUGAAGUCUCAGAGCCGGGUGUUGGUUCCGGUAGAGAUCGAGGGAAGUUAGUACCGAAGUCUGGGAUGGAAGAUGGCGAGAAAAGCUGUGUGUAUUUCUGAGGUGCCCGUACCGCAAACCGACACAGGUAGGUAGGAAGAAGAUUCUAAGGCCAACGGGAGAAGGGUUGUUAAGGAACUCGGCAAAUUGACCCCGUAACUUCGGGAGAAGGGGUGCUCCAGAGAUGGAGCCGCAGAGAAUCGGCCCAAGCAACUGUUUACCAAAAACACAGGUUUGUGCUAAAUCGAAAGAUGACGUAUACGAGCUGACGCCUGCCCGGUGCUGGAAGGUUAAAAGGAGAUGUGCAAGCAUUGAAUUGAAGCCCCAGUGAACGGCGGCCGUAACUAUAACGGUCCUAAGGUAGCGAAAUUCCUUGUCAGGUAAGUUCUGACCCGCAUGAAAGGCGUAAUGAUUUGGGCACUGUCUCGACAGCCCGCCCGGCGAAAUUGUAGUACCGGUGAAGAUGCCGGUUACCCGCGACAAGACGGAAAGACCCCAUGGAGCUUUACUG
rnacentral:rRNA from 1 species